UCUCCCUGGUCUGGCCCAUCGGUCGCUCUCUCCACUCCCUGUAGUCUGUGCUACCUCUUGCCUUGUUCUGACCCACGCUCAUCCCCAUAUCUGCCUUGCAAUACACCCAGGCUGCUCCCGGUGCUGUUCCCCUGUCAUCUGGUUCCAUCCUCCUCUAACCCUCUGCCUAGCCCCACAUCUGGAGUCACAUCUGGAUCUCAUCAUAACGGCCCUAGAACACCCACAAUACAAGACCUGGUCCUUGUCCAGUCUUCCUGGACCCCACUUGUCACCUGGUGAAGGGAUCCUGUGGUCUGAAAGAGGCUAUGUUCGAUGCUGACCUGUGACUCUGUAGAAGAUGGGAAAUUGUGUUGCAGAGACCUGAGAAAGCAACAGUCUCUCAGAGAAGGGAGGUCCCUCCCAGCGUAGCUGCAAAUCAGGCCCAAGGUUCUCCUCUCCAGGACAGACCCUGCUGCAAGGCUGGAGCUCCAGUCACUGCUGUGUCAUGUGCACUCCUGUGGAUUCCCCACAUGUGACCAACAGAAGAGGACAGAGAGGCAGAUUCUGUCCUGGACAGCUUCUUCAGCCUUCCAUCCCAUUUGAUGUGGUCUGAUUUUCUCCUGCACUGCUUCAGCUACAACCGGUCUUCUUCCUCUAGAGUCCCUCCCUAGACUAUGGCAAGACUAAACCAAUCGAACAGACCCAUCUCUCCUCCCUGUGUCUGAGUCAGCCACGUGCAAUAACAAAAUGCAUCCUCUUUCCUGGACCAUUGUGGGUCCGCAUCCCACCCCGUGGCAGGGCACGGCCGCUUGGGAAGAGAAACGCAGGGAGCUUGACUACGCUUAUCCCACCCACGCUGCUGCCUGGCAGGUGCUGGGCUUCAGGGAAGCACAGAGACACCGCUCUGGGGGUGGGAAAACAGUCCGAGAUGUGAGCAAGCCGAAGCUGGUGUUCCCUAACUUCUGAGCAUCUAGUCGCUGCUAGAGAACCACACAGAGGAGUCGGGAACAAGGUGUCAGGGGUCCACGGGCCACAACAAGGCUAAAACCACUGGGGGCUGACAGGCUGAGAAUGGCAUGUCGACCAGGCCUGGGGCUGGGAGCUCCAGCUUUGCUCAUUGGCAAAGGUAGCAGCAGUUGUCUGAGGGCCCAGAGGGCCCUCCUAUGGGAGACUUAGGCUGUGUGGCUCUGUAGGCGAAGGCCUGCUCCGUGCUCCCCAUGACGGUGGUAGAUGAAAGAGACAGUACUAGGUUCCAAACUAUUUAUUGAUUGUUCAUCCUGGAAAAUAUUCAUAUCUUCUUCUCAGGGUGGACGAACCCGAGAUUAAAUACCAUUUGCAGGGAGGAAUGUCUGGGAAGGGGAGCUAAUUGGCUAAACCCUCAGUGCCUCUAGGUACUUCUUUAGCAUGGAGAACUCUGUUCUGGGCGAACGUCACCACAGGUCACAUUUCCUUAUAUGGGAAGUGUGGCAGGUCUUCCAGACCAGGUAUCUAGCAGGGAGCAGGGAGGCACCUUCCAUCUCAGGUGUGAGUUUCCGGGGUCUCAACCCGCUCUACCCACCAAGCUUCCUGGCAUGGUUUACUGUCCCACAGAUCAUGGAAGAGGAGACAAGUGUCUGACUUGUUCUUCCUCUGGAUUGCUUCUUAAUGCUCAGAGAGGAGAAUAUUUAUUUAUACAGAUCUGUAUAAAUGUGCUGCCACCUGAAUCCAUGAUAGUGUCUGUGGUUCAUGCCAAGGGCCAUGCUGAUGCCCAUAGGCUGUGCUACCACUGGAGACCAUGUUGGUGUCUAUGACCAUGCUGCCACCAAAGGCCAUGUUGAUACCUGUGACCUGUGCUGCCGCAGAGGACCAUGAUGGCGUCUGUGAUUUGUGCUACCGCUGAGGGCUGUGCUGAUGUCCGUGGGUCUGUGUGUCCCCAGAAAGUAUGUGGGGAUCCAUGACCCAUGUCCCGACUGUGAAGGGCAAGGAAGCCUCUUCUGCGGUGGGCGUGAUGACUGCAGACUCACAGCUGAGACUGAGAGACAUAGAAGUCCUCUGUGACAACCUCUCCCACCCCAACCCUCACGCCUACCCCCUCCC
rnacentral:lncRNA from 1 species